UCCUGGUUAGCUCAGUUGGUGGAGCGCUCCACUGGAAAUGGAGAGAUACCUGGUUCGAUACUACGACCAGGCA
rnacentral:tRNA from 2 species